AUUGAAAACAAAACAGUUCGCCUUACAUUAAGAGCUGGGGUUGCGAUGCCCCAGCUACUUCAUUUAUAUGUGGCACAGUUGGGCACACAUCCUCUUACGGUUGUUCCAAAUGUACGCAAGUAGCGAAACAAAUUGAUCACGUUUUAACUAACAGUAUAGAUUCCGGCCCACUGAUUUCCGUUGAAGAUUUUAAGAAAAGGCGGCUAAAACUCACUAAAACACGGAAUUUCGGCAAUUUUUCCUCUAUACGGGUAUUUUAGUACUAAAAGGAAGCAUUCAUAAUGAGCUUUAUUAUGAAUUUCUCCUACUGCACUACUCAUGCAGAUUAUUAUCAUGCCCAAAAAGCUACGAGCGAAAUAUAAAACUUUGUCAGGAUAUGCUGAAGCUGUUUGUGCAAAAAUUUUCCAGAAGUGUUCAAGGAAAAUAGCGUAAGUUUUAAUCUACACAGCCUUUUGCAUCUCACAGACUGUGCAUAACAAUUCGGAAUUUUGCAAAAUUUUUCAGCUUACAACUUUGAAAAUUACUUGCAAAUUUUAAAAAGUUACGUUAAAAAACCCGCACAUAUACUGCAACAAAUUUACACCAACGUUUCCCGCGAAAAGCCUAAUAUACAAACUCAACAAGAAGGAUUUUUAGAAGAAAAAAAUCGAAUAAAGUUUGUCACGUCGGAAUAUAUUUUUAGCGUCGAUUUUCCCGACAACUAUUGUUUUAUCGAGCCUAAUAUACCCUUCCAUAUAGCAGCUUUCAAUAAAGAAAAAAAACUUGUAAUAGGAAAGCGACUUUUAAAUCCAACGGCGUUUCUUGAGGAACCUAUAGAUUCAUUAAAAUAUUUAGGAAUAUGUUUGAUCAAUUUAAAUCGCAGCAGCAUAGACGAAAGUUUUCUUCUAUCCCAAAUCAGAUGUAAGUGCAUAGGUUUACCUCACCAGGAUAAAAUUGUCUUGAUUCCAAUCUUACCAGGCUGCUUUUGAACUCAAUAAAAAUUUAGUAUUUAUUUAAAUGUACAAAUAACUAAGCAUUAUAAUUUAUUUAUUUAUAAGCGGACCCUCAAAAAUGGAAAAACGGCCAUCAAAGUACGUUAAACGCACGAAGACAAACGUGGAAACAAAAGGUAAAUAUUGAAAAUUAAAAUGUACUUUUAUUACAAAUUCAUUAUUUUUGUGCAGAUGAAAACCGGUGUGAGAAUUGCGUGAGACUGGAAGAAAUAUUUGAAACAUAAAUAGAUGAGAAAAUUUCAGGAAAUAAAAGGUAUGUAUGUAUAUAAACCCUUGUGAGAAUAUUAAAAAAAAAAACUUUUACUUCUAUAUUUUCAGAUUCAAUAUCUCAACUUCAUUCAUUCGUAACAGAGGAACUAAAAAAUUCGACCACUCAUCAAAAUACAGUUGUGAUGGAAGCAUUGGCUGAACAAAAUGUUCUUAU